AUGAGCAAAGCUCACCCUGCCAAGUUGAAAAAAUUUAUGGACAAGAAGUUAUCAUUGAAAUUAAAUGGUGGCAGACAUAAGGAAUAUUGCGGGGAUUUGAUCCCUUUAUGAACCUUGUGAUAGAUGAAUGUGUGGAGAUGGCGACUAGUGGGCAACAGAACAAUAUUGGAAUGGUGGUAAUACGAGGAAGUAGUAUCAUCAUGUUAGAAGCCUUGGAAUGAGUGUAAAUAAUGGCUGUUCAGCAGAGAAACCCAUGUUCUCUCUCCAUAGGGCCUGUUUUACUAUGAUGUAAAAUUAGGUCAUAUACAUUUUCAUAUUAGACUUUUGUUAAAUAAACUUUUGUAAUAGUCAAAAAUGCUUUCUCAGAUGUUCUGAAUAUAGAAUAUUAGCUCUCAUUCCAAUUUUUUCUAACAUGAAUUUUCCUGGUUGACACUGAUUUCAAAGGGUUUUAUGCAUUAAAGUGGAAGAAUCUUAUUAAAUGUG